rnacentral:lncRNA from 1 species
CCGCGCUCCGGGGGCUGCGGUGUACGGGAGCCCCCCCGGAGCCUCGGCGGGUGGGUGAACCUCGGGGACCGCGCGCCCUUAACGCUCCACUCGCUGUUUUUUGUUUUUUUUUUUUUUUUUCUGAGCUGGAAACGAUUAAAAAGCGAAAGCGAAGGAGGGGAGCGGGUCUGCCGGCAGGGUGUGCUGCCGCCCCAGCGAAGGGACGCGCGAGAAAAUCCCCGGAGCUGCCCCGGAGCAGCCUCACGCGAGCUCGGCUGCAGCUCCACGCCCGCGUCGCGCUCUCCGAACUCUUCGCCGCGCUCGAAGCUCACCGCCCCGCGCCGCGUCCCCCGGCUGCGCAGCGUCCCGUGGCCACCGGAGCCUGGCGAGAAGCCGUGCCAAAGCCCUCUGCCCUCAGGAAGAGCCUCCCACCACCGGGCUUUAAGCUCCCAGCCAUCCCGAGCCAUUCCACGAUCCUAAGAAAGUUCCACACCACUGGGGGCUGCAGCAGCGGUGAGGCUGGGUGUUCAUCAGUAGGGCCCUCCCACUCCCAUCAAUGUCCUUCUCUGUCGCCGAGCCACUUGUCCGAGUCCCCUGGAGAGCACCAUCACCUCCCUGGCAGUAACAGAGCAAACUAUGAGGAUUCCCACCGCCAGCAACAUCAGGAGACGAAGGCCCUCCUUGACGAGGCCACUCAGCCACCCCGCGACCUUGAGCUAAUAACAGAAUAUCUAUGGCAGUGCGAUUCUGUAGCAAGGCAUGCCGUAAGCUGUUCUGGUCAAGCAGAAGCUGUUUGAGAAAGGAGAGUGCAACCCUUGCAGCAAGCGAGAAAAGCUCCGUGGGAUGCUCACAUUCAGGGGUUAGCAGAGCACGCUUCAUGCGAUCAGAGCGGUUAGAGAGUAAUGUUUCAAAGCUGCUCAAAGGUAGGAGCAAACAGAGUUGAUUUUCCUAAGGAAUGGGGUCCACCUGUCUCCUGGCUGGGGAUGCCCUGCCACGCUCUGUCUCCACAGACCAAAAAGAUGUCCGGAGGCAAUGCCUUCGCAGAGCCAUUGCACCAUAUAGUCGAGUUGUUACCAUUUGCAGCUGCGCCAUAGGCAGCCAAACCUGUCUUCUUGAUGUAUUGGUGCCACAGUAAUCACAAGCAUCCCGUAAGUAAAUUUGCCACGGCUAGAUACAGUAGUGCAAGAGGUCCAAUUCAGCCCUUUAUAAGGAUUUAGGCCCUGCUGGGUAUUACUGAAUACAAAGCAGGUCUGGGUCCAAUUCUGUGACGUGUUCCCUAUCGCCUGCGACCCCAUAAGUUACGGUUCCUGGGGAUCCCAAGGCAGCGAGACAUUUCAUCCAGCAAUCAGUUCAGUGGAGCAUCCCAGACUGUGUAGAAGCCGCUGUAGAGCCGGGGCAGAGAGCUGUUGGCAUCGAUGAGGCACAGCGGGGUCUGCUGAGGCCCCCCCCCCCCCCCCAACAGGCUGCCCCACGCCAGCUUCUGCAGCUCGAUGGGCAUCACGGUGUAGGGCAGUGCUUCUCAGUGUAGCCCUGGAAGCCCUGCACUGCCAUGGAGAGCACCGGGUGGAGGCGGCUGUGGCGCGGUCCGGGCUCGGGCCAGGGGAGGCUGCGGGUGGCCGUACAGCGGGGGCUCGUAUGGCCUUCAAGGUGUUGGCAGCAGCACGCCACACCGGUCCCAGAGGCUUCAGCAACUCCUCGUCCUUCCCCCCAGAUAUCACACAGUCCCACGUAUGAUCUCCUAUAUCACGCCAUUCUGAAGCACCGAACAUCAGUGCCACCUCCAUGAGGUAUUCAAGUCAUCGAGCCCAUUUUACCAGCUCCGACGGGCCUUUAGGAGACACUUGCUCCCCUUUCUUAGAGAGGAUAGUUAGGAGCGGUUUCUCUGUAGCUUCCCACUCUAUCGUGGGGGCAGAGGGCAGGGAGGGACCCCGCUUCCAGCUACCGUGACACUUACAGCACUGUUGCUUGUCCGGUGCCAUCCAUCUGCGACCGCUGCCUCGUCUCCCUCUUACUCCAAGGUCCUUUUCUGAUGGUUCUUACUCCAAAGUCCCCGUUUGGGCACCACUUGUCACCGAGUGACUGUUCAGAGUCCUCUGGAGAGCAAUAUUCAGCCAAGGCGCGGCGUGGACGAGGCCACACACCGUUGUGGUUUCUAGCAGCCAAGCCGUGUAAUAACUGCACCCAGCCGCUUAUAUAGAGCGGUACAAAUAACAUGCUAAGUACACAAGGCACGCUUCUCAUGACUGGCAGUUGCUUGCAGCUUGUCUCACGGCACCCGGCACAGCGGUCUCCAUCACAGCUCCGCAUUCCUUUUGCCUACUCCCGUCGUUGUUCUGUGUGAGACAGUGAUCCAUAGCAGCUGUUUUGCUUGCAGUGACCCAGGGGGAGAUAAACAUCACCUCCCUGGGUCAGCUGUCCAUCCACACUUCCCCAGUCCAGGAGCAGAGAAGAGGAGGUUCCGUGACCUCAGUCCCUCCAGCAGAGCCGCCCCAGGCGCUGCAGCAGCUCGGUGGCCCUGUGCUGCACUCUCCCCAGUGUGUCCCGGGCUCUCCUGUGUGGGGGGCCCAGAGCUGCACCCAGUGCUGUCUGUGCAGCCGCACCAUUGCUGAGCAGAGGGCAGAUCCCACUCGUUCCACUGCUGGCAGUGCCAUCCCAGCGCAGCCCGGACACCCUCAGCCUUUGCCCAAAGGGCACAACUGCUCCCGUUCCCCUCAGAGCACAGCCGCACUCAGGGCCCAUCCGCAAAGCUGCUCCCAGCUGUGCCCCAGCAGCCCUGGGUCCAGAGAGGAGGAGGAGUGGGGCCGUCGGAUGGGGCUGUGAUGUACAGGGAACAAUGAGGAUGCACAAGAGCUCUCCUGUAUGCAGUGGAAACAAACAGCUCCUUCUCUCCAUGCCAGCUCUGCACCUCCUCCUGUGACACUCCACAUGUGGGGCUCUGGCAGCUCUCCCUCAGCUCUUCUUCCUCAGCACAGCCCCGAGCAGGG